GACUUUGAUGAAACAACCAAAUAAACAAAACAAAAAAGUACAGCUGAAAAAAAACCCUGUUAUUUUCAGACGAAACUGGAUGAGGGCGCUCUAAACUUCACCGUUGGCCGUGACUCAUCAACUGGGAAGGGCUUAACAAAAAUGGCACCAAAAAGAAACUCAUAUUCUGCAGGUUACAAACUUCAAGUUGUAAAACAUGCAGCCGAAAACAGUAAUCGAGCAGCAGAAAGGAAGUUUGGAGAACCAUGAUGUU